GACGCGGUGGCGCAGUGGUUUAGCGCGACGGCAUUGCAGAAAUAGAGGAAGGGGCCCGGGUUCAAGUCCCGGGCAGUGUCA
rfam:Aphanomyces invadans strain NJM9701 unplaced genomic scaffold supercont1.9, whole genome shotgun sequence.